AUGAUGAUUUAGAUUUUAAUUUAGUUUAUGGUUGAAACUGAAAAUUGAUGUGGAAACUAUUCUAGGGCGGUCUGACUUA